GCCGGGCACGGCGGUGCACGCCUGUUAUCCCAGCAGCUCGGGAGGCUGAGGCAGGAGGAUCAAGAGUUGAAAGCCAGUCUCAGCAACGGCAAGGUGCUAGGCAACUCAAUGAGACCUGCCUCUA
rnacentral:sRNA from 1 species